UCGGUGGCGAUGCGGCCCAGUGCAGCGUGCAUGGAGCGGGCACCUGCGUCGGGCACCCCGUAGGCCUCCGUCACCCUGUACUCGAGCUCCCAGCGCGCCUCUCCGCGCGCGUUCGCCUGGCUCAGGUUCAUGAAGUUCUGAAGGAAGGUCUUGGAAGCAUAAAGAAACAGCACCUUGGCUGGAAGUCAGCUCACCCAGAAGUGCCAACAGCCACGUUGGUUUGAGAGGGGUGUAUGGCAACUGCAGGGCCACAGAAGGACACAGAGCUGUGUGCGAGCCCACAUGAGACUUACCCAGGAAGAUGUUUUUCUAUUCUGUUACUCCAGCAGGAAGAAGGAAGAUAUUUUUCUUGUCUGGCAACCACUCAGCCAAUGAAAGACUGUUAUAACUCAUCCAAUGAAAAGCCACUGUACUUUGAACUACCAGUUUCCUCCAAUGGACUUUUUGUUUACAAAAGCCCCUCUGAACUUCCCCUUUCCUCUAUAAAAGCAUGUUACAUACUUUGUUCUCUGGAUUUGCUGUGGUUAACCAUUAGACCACAUAUUCUGAAUUGUAAUUCUUUUGUUGUUCCUGAAUAAACCCAUUUUGCUGGAGAAAUAUCUGGCUAUUUGUUUAAGGUCAAUAGUACAAACAUGGUCCUGCCACUUCCUAGGUGUGGAAUCUUGGGCAAAUGUAUGUCCCUCUGCGUUUCAUUUUCCUCAGCCACAAAAUGGAUAUUAUGAUAAUAGUACCCACUUUACAGGGACUAUAAAAAUCAAAUGUAUUUUUGUAUUUCACGUUUCAAAUGGGCAUGUAUCAAGCACCUUGCACAAGCAUGGCCCAUCAUAAGUGCUCAAUAAAUAAAUGUUAGCUCUUCUUGGCUAUUUUCCUUAAUGUUUGUUUGUUUUUAUAUAGCAUUAUUUUAAAAGAGAUUGAAAUUGUUCAGUGUGGGUGCAGGUCCAGAAUCAUAUAUUAACUAGAUGUGUAACCUUGGGUUAGUUACUUAACUUCUCUAAGGCUCAAUUUCCUUGAUAAUCCCUAUGUCACAAGACUAUUGUGAGGGCAUUAUGUAAUAAUUUCAGCAAUG